rnacentral:rRNA from 1 species
AUUGAACGCUGGCGGCAGGCCUAACACAUGCAAGUCGAGCGGCAGCGGGAAAGUAGCUUGCUACUUUUGCCGGCGAGCGGCGGACGGGUGAGUAAUGCCUGGGAAAUUGCCCAGUCGAGGGGGAUAACAGUUGGAAACGACUGCUAAUACCGCAUACGCCCUACGGGGGAAAGCAGGGGACCUUCGGGCCUUGCGCGAUUGGAUAUGCCAAGGUGGGAUUAGCUAGUUGGUGAGGUAAUGGCUCACCAAGGCGACGAUCCCUAGCUGGUCUGAGAGGAUGAUCAGCCACGCUGGAACUGAGACAGGGUCCAGACUCUUACGGGAGGCAGCAGUGGGGAAUAUUGCACAAUGGGGGAAACCCUGAUGCAGCCAUGCCGCGUGUGUGAAGAAGGCCUUCGGGUUGUAAAGCACUUUCAGCGAGGAGGAAAGGUUGAUGCCUAAUACGUAUCAACUGUGACGUUACUCGCAGAAGAAGCACCGGCUAACUCCGUGCCAGCCGCCGCGGUAAGAC